AUAGCGUAUAUUAAAGUUGUUGCAGUUAAAAAGCUCGUAGUUGAACCUUGGGCCUGGUUGGUCGGUCCGCCUCACCGCGUGCACUGAUCCGACCGGGUCUUUCCUUCUGGGGAGCCGCAUGCCCUUCACUGGGUGUGUCGGGGAACCAGGACUUUUACUUUGAAAAAAUUAGAGUGUUCAAAGCAGGCCUAUGCUCGAAUACAUUAGCAUGGAAUAAUAGAAUAGGACGUGUGGUUCUAUUUUGUUGGUUUCUAGGACCACCGUAAUGAUUAAUAGGGAUAGUCGGGGGCAUCAGUAUUCAAUUGUCAGAGGUGAAAUUCUUGGAUUAAUUGAAGACUAACUACUG
rnacentral:rRNA from 1 species